AUAUGCCACUCGUACACUACGGUUCCUGCAUCGUUCACUCACGUGACGGCUGCUCGCUACGUUUCUCAACU
rnacentral:sRNA from 1 species